rnacentral:tRNA from 1 species
GGGGAAUUAGCUCAAAUGGUAGAGCGCUCGCUUAGCAUGCGACAGGUAGUGGGAUCGAUGCCCACAUUCUCCA